ACCCUGUAGAACCGAAUUUGUG
rnacentral:ncRNA from 25 species